rnacentral:rRNA from 1 species
UACGGGGGGGGCAAGCGUUGUUCGGAAUUACUGGGCGUAAAGCGCAUGUAGGCGGCCUAGCAGGUCGGAUGUGAAAUCCCUCGGCUCAACCAAGGAAGUGCAUUCGAAACCGCAAGGCUGAAGUCCCGGAGAGGAUGGUGGAAUUCUCGGUGUAGAGGUGAAAUUCGUAGAUAUCGAGAGGAACACCGGCGGCGAAGGCGGCCAUGUGGACGAGGACUGACGCUGAGAUGCGAAAGCGUGGGGAGCAAGCAGG